rnacentral:rRNA from 1 species
CUACGGGCGGCUCCAGUGGGGAAUAUUGCACAAUGAGCGAAAGCUUGAUGCAGCCAUACCGCGCGUGUGAAGAAGGCCCGAGGGUUGUAAAGCACUUUCAAUUGUGAGGAAGGUUCAGUAGUUAAUACCUGCUGUUCUUGACGUUAACUUUAGAAGAAGCACCGGCUAACUCUGUGCCGGCAGCCGCGGUAAUACAGAGGGUGCAAGCGUUAUUCGGAAUUACUGGGCGUAAAGCGCGCGUAGGCGGAUUGAUAAGUCAGUUGUGAAAGCCCUGGGCUCAACCUAGGAAUUGCAUCUGAUACUGUCAGUCUAGAGUUUAAGAGAGGGAAGGGGAAUUCCAGGUGUAGCAGUGAAAUGCGUAGAUAUCUGGAGGAACAUCAGUGGCGAAGGCGCCUUCCUGGCUUAAAACUGACGCUGAGGUGCGAAAGCGUGGGUAGCGAACGGGAUUAGAUACCCCUGUAGUC